UACGUAGGGGGCAAGCGUUGUCCGGAUUUACUGGGCGUAAAGAGCGUGUAGGCGGCCACGCAGGUCCGUUGUGAAAACUGGAGGCUCAACCUCCAGCUGUCGACGGAAACCGUAUGGCUAGAGUCCGGAAGAGGAGAGUGGAAUUCCUGGUGUAGCGGUGAAAUUCGUAGAUAUUCGCAAGAACACCAGUGGCGAAGGCGGCUCACUGGCCCGGUACUGACGCUGAGGUGCGAAAGCGUGGGGAGCAAACAGGG
rnacentral:rRNA from 1 species